GACCCGCGUCUGAUUAGCUAGUUGGUAAGGUAACGGCUUACCAAGGCGACGAUCAGUAGCCGACCUGAGAGGGUGAUCGGCCACAUUGGAACUGAGACACGGUCCAAACUCCUACGGGAGGCAGCAGUGGGGAAUAUUGCACAAUGGGCGAAAGCCUGAUGCAGCAACGCCGCGUGAGUGAUGAAGGCCUUCGGGUCGUAAAACUCUGUCCUCAAGGAAGAUAAUGACGGUACUUGAGGAGGAAGCCCCGGCUAACUACGUGCCAGCAGCCGCGGUAAUACGUAGGGGGCUAGCGUUAUCCGGAUUUACUGGGCGUAAAGGGUGCGUAGGCGGUCUUUCAAGUCAGGAGUGAAAGGCUACGGCUCAACCGUAGUAAGCUCUUGAAACUGGGAGACUUGAGUGCAGGAGAGGAGAGUGGAAUUCCUAGUGUAGCGGUGAAAUGCGUAGAUAUUAGGAGGAACACCAGUUGCGAAGGCGGCUCUCUGGACUGUAACUGACGCUGAGGCACGAAAGCGUGGGGAGCAAACAGGAUUAGAUACCCUGGUAGUCCACGCUGUAAACGAUGAGUACUAGGUGUCGGGGGUUACCCCC
rnacentral:rRNA from 1 species